GACGAACGCUGGCGGCGUGCUUAACACAUGCAAGUCGAACGGAAAGGCCCAGCUUGCUGGGUGCUCGAGUGGCGAACGGGUGAGUAACACGUGGGUGAUCUGCCUCUAACUUCGGGAUAAGCUUGGGAAACUGGGUCUAAUACCGGAUAGGACAAUCGUUUAGUGUCGGUUGUGGAAAGUUUUUUCGGUUAGGGAUGAGCCCGCGGCCUAUCAGCUUGUUGGUGGGGUAAUGGCCUACCAAGGCGUCGACGGGUAGCCGGCCUGAGAGGGUGGACGGCCACAUUGGGACUGAGAUACGGCCCAGACUCCUACGGGAGGCAGCAGCGGGGAAUAUUGCACAAUGGACGCAAGCCUGAUGCAGCGACGCCGCGUGGGGGAUGACGGCCUUCGGGUUGUAAACCUCUUUCGACAGGGACGAAGCUUUGGUGACGGUACCUGUAUAAGAAGCACCGGCUAACUACGUG
rnacentral:rRNA from 1 species